rnacentral:rRNA from 1 species
UACGUAGGGAGCAAGCGUUGUCCGGAAUCAUUGGGCGUAAAGCGCGCGUAGGUGGCCUCAUAAGUCCGCUGUGAAAGUCAAAGGCUCAACCUUUGAAAGCCGGUGGAUACUGUGGGGCUAGAGUACGGAAGAGGCGAGUGGAAUUCCUGGUGUAGCGGUGAAAUGCGCAGAUAUCAGGAGGAACACCAAUGGCGAAGGCAGCUCGCUGGGACGGUACUGACGCUGAGACGCGAAAGCGUGGGGAGCAAACAGG